GGGGCGCGGAGCUGGCGAGGAGGACGGGCGGGCGGUGCUUCCUUGGCUGCUCCGCUUGCACUCGGCGGAGCCAGCCGAGCCCAGGUCUUCCACUUCCGCCCCUCCACCGGCCGCUGGAAGUACCGGAGCCUGAGAAGUCGGCGGCCGUCCCGCAGCGGCACGUCCUCCUCCCUUCUUCGCCAUCCCUCUGAGUCAAGCCGGCCGCGCCGCCCCAGGCUUUGCUCUGCCGAGCCCGCAGCCCACGCCGCGGCCGACAUGAGCUUCUUGUUUGGUAGUCGAUCUUCUAAAACUUUUAAGCCAAAGAAGAACAUCCCAGAGGGUUCUCACCAGUAUGAACUCUUAAAACAUGCAGAAGCCACACUUGGCAGUGGCAACCUUCGGAUGGCCGUCAUGCUUCCUGAGGGAGAGGAUCUAAAUGAGUGGGUUGCAGUUAACACUGUGGAUUUUUUCAAUCAAAUCAAUAUGCUUUAUGGAACCAUCACAGACUUCUGUACAGAGGAGAGUUGUCCGGUGAUGUCAGCUGGACCAAAAUAUGAGUAUCACUGGGCAGAUGGAACAAACAUAAAAAAGCCUAUCAAGUGCUCUGCACCAAAGUAUAUUGAUUACCUGAUGACCUGGGUUCAAGACCAGCUGGAUGAUGAAACAUUAUUCCCAUCAAAAAUUGAGGGACCUUAUCUCUCUACUAGGUGUUCCAUUCCCAAAGAAUUUCAUGUCUGUGGCAAAAACAAUUCUCAAACGGCUCUUUAGAGUUUAUGCUCACAUUUAUCACCAACAUUUUGAUCCUGUGAUCCAGCUUCAGGAGGAAGCACAUCUCAAUACAUCUUUCAAGCACUUUAUUUUUUUUGUUCAGGAGUUCAACCUUAUUGACAGAAGAGAACUUGCACCACUCCAAGAACUAAUUGAGAAACUCACCUCAAAGGACAGAUAAAAGGAUAAAAAGCUGCAAAUUCUUCCUCCACUGGAGCUGUGUGGGUGUAUUUGGGCUUUUGUUAUAUUUUGUUUUUAUCUGGAUUAUUUGUCUUUGGUUUGGGGGCUUGCUUGGGUUCCCUUUUCUCUUUUGAAUAUAUAAAAUCAUAUUUUGUUGCUAGAGAAAGCCAAGAACCAUUCUCUACAUUUGAAAAGGGCAAAUUUUGUCUUAGUGGUAUAUAGUAUUUUCUUUUCUUUUUAAUAUAUUUUUUUUUAUUAACCUGGUUUUGGUUACUUGAGGACUUUUUAUGAUAUUGUAUGCUGGAAACAACUAACUGACUGAAAUGCAGAUGGUUUGCAUUCUGUGUUGUGUAAAUUGUGGCCCACUUUGAAGUCCCUAAAAAAGACUAAUGUGUUCUUAAGUGCCUUGAUAGGCUCACUUCUGAGGUGCAAAGCACAGGUAUAGACUGAGCAGAGAUUGAAACAAUAUUAGAAUUUCUAUCUAGGGCACUUACUUGUGCAUGUUGUAAAGUAAUCUGUUAUAAAAGCCAUAGUUUACUCAAGUUGAUGAUGUCCAGCUUUUACUACAUUGAAAAAACAUAAUUUGUAAAGUUGUGCAUGUAGAACAUAAAUGUAAAACAACAAAAAUUAUUUCUUAAUUAUUUUUGACAUAAUUUGUAAAGGUGUGCAUGUAGAACAUAAGUGUAAAACAACAAAAUUCUUAAUUAUUUUUGAUAUUGACUGAUAUAUAUUCUGUUCAACAGACAUUUAAAGUUCUACAAGCAGGUCUUUUUCCAUCUCUUAAUAUCUGUGAUAUUGAAAUUUGAGGAUGUUGAAAUGUAAUAACUAUUGCAUUUCAACUUCUUUUUACAUGUUAAGUGCACUGUAAGUGUAAAACUUCAGGUUAUAUAUAGACUUGCCAUCUUCAGAAAGAAUGCUGAACUGUGAGGUUUCCUAGCAAUUGCCAAAUGAGCCAUAAGUGCAGAAUCUCCUUGUACUUCAAAGAGGGAGGAAAAAUAAGAAUGGUUGGUGGCAGGCAUUAGUUUGGGAAAUCAAAAGAGAAAGAUUAAGUAUGGGGAGUCAAAUUCUAGAAAGUCCUGUUUUAAAACCCUGGGAUAGAAUAGUGUUUAUUACUUACAGAGUCUUGAAGACUUCCUUUUAGAAAUCCGCUUCCAUGAGAAGUUAAAAAAAUAAAUACUUAGUUUUAGGUACAGACAUUAAACAUGGAAUUUAAUGACUAUUUGGGGGAAAUCAAUCACUUUUUAGCAUUUCCAUUCAGUGAAUGGAGCUGGUAUUUGCCUGUCAUUUUAAAUGAUACACUACCUUGAUUAUUGGUGCAGUAUGAAGCAUCCUGACUUCUUAUUUUUCCACUGUGAAAUCUCUUUUCUUUGUGGUGAUAUCAAGUAAUGAAAAUGCUAGCUCAGUAGUUAAUAACUUCUAAAUUUUAGUUGACAUGACAUUCUGUUGAAUUGUCAUUAUUAAUUACAAAUUCAGGAAUUUGGUUUUUAGAAUAAAUGUUGAACUCUCCCCCCACUUCAGUUUUGUUCUUGAAAAAUACUCUUUUCAAACUCUGAGGUUUUUUGUUUGUUUGUUUGCUUUUUUGUUUGUUUUUGAGCAGACAUUGAGUUUUAAUUUUUGUCAAUUUUUAUAAAUCUGUUUUCCUCAAUUUUCUGUCUGUCUCUUCUUUUCUCUCUGUAGUUAGAGACACAUGCCUUUCCCCUAGUAAAGUAGAAAUGCUUGCUCUGAAUUUGUAUGCAAAUACAUUGUGGAGGAAACUAAAAUUAAGUAAAUUUGGUUUUGCUAUUAACAAAUGGACAGUAAUAGAAUUGAAUGCCCUUGCAACUAUUAUCACUUGGAACUGCCUUUUUCUCCAUUUCAUUUCUCUAAUGGUGAUUGCUCACCAUGUACCAAUAAUAAGGAACAAAAGAACUUGGAAGAGGUAGAUAAUACUGGGCAUUUAUUAGUAGUGCUUAUUUAUGAACAGACAGGUAGCUAUUUUCUCAAAAUAAUUUUUUAGUAUCUAAAUAGAUAGUAUCAGGCAUUAUGAGUUGCUUCAGAAUUCUGAUGUGAGUCCUCUCUGUACAGGAAAUGAAGCCCAUAAUUACUCACGGAAACAGUCUUCCAUAGUAUAUAUACUUCCUAUUGCCCUAGUAACAGGGACUUCCAUAGCAGCACCAUGUAGAAGGAAGAGUGAGAGGUUGUUUCUGGUCCUUAAGCCUUACAUACAGUACGCUGUAAAAAUGGAAAAUUAGUCCUAGAAAUGAGUGCUUGGUAGUAGGACUUACUUUCCCACUACAUUAGGUAGGAGUUAUUUUCACUGUGCAAAUCUCAGGUGCCAUGGCAAAUAAGGAAAUUUGUGUGUGUGUGUGUGUGUGUGUGUGUGUGUGUGUGUGUGUGUGUGUGUGUUGAGAAAGAAUAGUACUCUUGGGGAAAGGCCUGGCAAGUGUACAUGGUGGUACAUGGCUAUAAGUAAGGAAAUACUAGAACCCAAGAGAAAGUUUAAUAAAAACUUGCUUUGAGAGUACAAUGCCCUUUUAUAAAAUAAGAAAGUUUAUUUUGCAGGAGAGCUUGCUUAUAAAUGUUUCUGAGAUUCUUUUCAGAUCUGUUAAUUUAUAAAUCACUGAUUAUCUCCCUUUUUCUUUCUUUUCUUUUUUUGAGACUGGGUCUCUCUAUGUAGCCGUGGCUAGCCUGGAGUUCACUAUGUAGACCAGGUUGGUCUCAAACUCUCAGAGAUCUCUUGCCUAUGUACCCUAUAUGCUGAGAUUAAAGGUGUGCACCACCACACCUGGCUACCCCAUCUUUUAUACAGUUAUACAAGUUCAAGUUGGUUUUUUCAUAAGCUCAUCCCAUACAAUUGAAUGUAGUAAAUUAUCAUUAUGUUAUUACAGUGCUUUGGUUACAUGUGGAUACGAUGAUGCAAGUUUUAGGAAAGAUUUAGUUACCAGAAUAGUGGGGAUGAAGAGAAACUGACUGAGGGAAAUGUUUGUUGUUAACAGUAGGUGGUGCUGCUGGCGUUGUUCACUUGCUGACUUGGUUCUUCCACUUCCCACAAAAGCCAUGCCUUAGAUUGCCUGCCCCCCAGACAGUGAGCGUGCCUGUGCGUGUGCAUGGGUGUGUGUUGGUGGGUGGCUUUGGAGCUCUGUGUACCUGAAAAUGAAAGAGUUUUAGGUUGUUGCCACUUUUAACUCUCUUAAUCAUUGUGAAUUCUAAAUGGUCAACAUAAAAUGUAUUAGGUAGCAAAGAAUAUUUAAUGUGUAUUUCUGACUGAGCUACUACCUGGAUUAUCAGGAUCGAUGAAGCACUACAAUCUCUUCCCAGAAAAUAGAAAUAUGGUAUUUAUAUUUUGUAUAUAUACUCACUAGGUUCCAUUUUAUGUAUUGAGCAUUUUCCUUGCUAUGGGAAAAAUAGCAAAACAACAGAUUUCUUUUAUAGCUUUGUCUACACCCUCUCUGAGAGAGGUUUUGAUAACCACUGAAAUGGCAGAUUAUAUAAGAUACAAAUACUAACUUGUGGGAUUUUCUUUUAAAAUGAAUAUGUUGUACCUUAAUGUCCAAAUGAGGUUGACUUUCAAAGCAGUUCUCUUUGGGCCACUGUUUAUUUCAAUUAUGUUGCAAAGUAUGUUUCUAGAACUUUGUAAUGUAUCAUAGGUGCUUUAAGAAUUGGCUUAUGACUAUGUAAGAAAAAGCAGUUUUAUCUUUUCAGUUGCACAAAAACAAUAUUCAGAGCUUAAUAGAACCCACAUUAAUUACUAAAUCAAGUUCACUAACUUGGCUUUUCCCUGAGAACCAAGCCUGUGUGGUAAUCACGAGUAUCUUUUAGGCUCUAAAUCUUUGAAGAAGACUGCUAUAGACAUUGACUGCGUCACAGAAUAGAAUACUUUACCGAUGUCACAAUUGGAAAUAGGAACCAUCAUUUACAUGUGAAAACAUUUUUAAAACAUUUUUUAAAAUUCAGUUUAAUUACUUUGUAUUUAAACUGAAUUUUAAACUUAAGGUCUUUCUCUAGAACUUGCUCUGUUUUUUCCCCCCUCUCUUUUCCUUAAAACUUUUGAAUUGUGUAGGAUAGUUUUGAUUGAGAGAAUACUAUGAAAAAGUAGAUGCAGUAUUUAAAAUAGCAGUUCAAAGAAACAAACUCUUUACCUCUGUUGUAUUCUGUUUUAUUUUAAAUAGGUUUUUCUUUUAAUCUGACUUUAAUUAAAGAGUAGAGGUUGAUGUACAGGAAAAAUGUGAUAAAAUUUUAUUAUUAUGCAAAGUUUUAACCUACCUAUCAUGAAUACAUUUAAAAAGAUAUAAGUAUUCAGCACAUAUCGUUCAUAACAUUAAAUUCUGAUUGUUUUUUGAAAAUAUACUAAAUUGAAAGUUUAUGUGUAAUUUGGAAUGUGAUUGCAUAGUAGGAAAACAUCUUAUUUUGAAAACUUACGUGACAUAUUAAAGAAUACACCACUUAUAAACUCAGCCCAGUCUUGCCCCUAAUGGACUUUAAGCAUUAGGGUUUUGCCAUAACAGAUAUUUACCAUAGGAGCCUCUGUUACCAGCAUGAUUAUAUGUGAGUAAUAAAUAGAGGUCUGUUUCAAGAUUUAAUAGGAAAGUUUAACAAACAACAGACAUGCAACAGGAUUCUGAAUUCAAAUGGUUUGAAUUUUUAAGGCUUUCCUCAGAAGUUCAUCUAUGAGAAUUCAUUUUGAAGGUAUGAGACUGCCAUCCUCUCUGUCUACCACUGAUUUGUAUUCUGACAAAAGAGACGAAACUUCAAAAUAAAAUAUUGGGCCCUCAGUUUUAUAAGUGUGUGGCGAAAGUUCCUUGUGCAGGUCCCCUCCCUCCUUUCCUCUCUCUUGCAUAUAGUGCUACACAGUCUCAAACAUGAAGUGAAAACACUGGCCUUUACAGAUCUGUGUUUUCCCACUCCCAUCUGCCACAUACACCUGCUCACAUGCACUCAAGGCUGAUGUUACAGUUCAUCAUUGUUAGUAAUUCUGAAGUGUUGGCGACAUAUAGGUUUUCUUUUGUUUGCUUGGCAGGUUUUUUUUUUUAUGUCAUCAAAGCUGCAGUUAUUGGUGAUAUAAAGUGGCAAUUUUCUAAUUUCUUUCAUAAUUAUUCUUUUGUUUUGUUUUGUUUUUCGAGACAGAGUUUCUCUGUGUGGCUUUGGAGCCUAUCCUGGCACUCACUCUGGAGACCAGGCUGGCCUUGAACUGCCCGCCUCUGCCUCCCGAGUGCUGGGGUUAAAGGCAUGUGCCACCAAUGCCCGGCUCCAUAAUUAUUCUUAUAGGUGGAUAUUUCUUGUUUUGCACAAAUUUGCAUUUUUGUUUUUGGAAAUAGUUGGAUAGGUUGUCAAUUACAUUAGUGCAUUGUCAUUUCAGAACACCUUUUCCCCUUAAAUUGUUUUGCAGAAAUAACUAUUUUUAGGGAAAAUAGUUUUACAGCUACUAAAUUUUGUUAUUUUUGUAUAUGCAUAUCCAGGGUGGUGAAAUCACUAAUAUUUUAGGGAAAACCUUUGUUCUAUUUGACCUUUUUCCUAUACACUUAAGGUAUUAUUUAAAAUUGGUAGAAAUAGUGUCAUGAAAAUAGAAAAUAUGGGGAACAUUUAAAAUCAGAAUAGAAAUUAUUUCUGAUGACAAAAAUCAGAAAUACUGUCAGUAACAAUUGAUGGAGGCGGAAGGGCAGCAUUCGAAUUGUGCACUUGCUUAAGAUACGCACCGAGAUGAGCGUCUGUUCUCAUGCGGAACAGGUUCUCUAGUAAGGUAGUUAGAUGGGAAAAAAAUGGUCUAAAAUAUGAACUGCAAAGUGGACGCCAUAUUGUAAAUUGUACUAAGAUUAUGCAAAUUGUAGUUAUUGAUCAAAGUUUAAUUGCUUCAUUAUUGUUAUUUUAAAGGAAAUACUGAAUGAUAGAAAACCUGUAAUAUGUUUUAUUUGAGAGAUGUAAAUAAUGUACACAGUCUUCUAUGUGGUGGAAUGGGAGGUAUUUAAAUUCUAGGUUCUUUUUUUUAAAGGAAGAAAAUGUCUAUAAGAAAAAAAACCUUAAUAAAUAGUUAUGUUUGGCCAUGAA